AGAGUUUGAUCAUGGCUCAGAACGAACGCUGGCGGCAGGCUUAACACAUGCAAGUCGAACGAUAUAGUGGCAGACGGGUGAGUAACGCGUGGGAACGUACCUUUCACUACGGAAUAGCUCUUGGAAACGAGUGGUAAUACCGUAUACGCCCUUCGGGGGAAAGAUUUAUCGGUGAAAGAUCGGCCCGCGUUAGAUUAGCUAGUUGGUAGGGUAAUGGCCUACCAAGGCGACGAUCUAUAGCUGGUCUGAGAGGAUGAUCAGCCACACUGGGACUGAGACACGGCCCAGACUCCUACGGGAGGCAGCAGUGGGGAAUCUUGCACAAUGGGCGAAAGCCUGAUGCAGCCAUGCCGCGUGAAUGAUGAAGGCCUUAGGGUUGUAAAAUUCUUUCGCUAGGGAUGAUAAUGACAGUACCUAGUAAAGAAGCCCCGGCUAACUUCGUGCCAGCAGCCGCGGUAAUACGAAGGGGGCUAGCGUUGUUCGGAAUUACUGGGCGUAAAGCGCACGUAGGCGGACUUUUAAGUCAGAUGUGAAAUCCCGGGGCUCAACCUCGGAACUGCAUUUGAAACUGGAAGUCUAGAGACCAGGAGAGGUUAGCGGAAUACCGAGUGUAGAGGUGAAAUUGGUAGAUAUUCGGUGGAACACCAGUGGCGAAGGCGGCUAACUGGACUGGUACUGACGCUGAGGUGCGAAAG
rnacentral:rRNA from 1 species